rnacentral:lncRNA from 1 species
UCUUUUUAUUUUUUUAAUUUUGCCCCGGUUUGUUUUUGCGCGUUCAAGUUAGUCCCUACUAGAACUCUGCGUUUGGCAUAAUGGGAUUAUUUCCCAUUUGCCCCCUCCUAGUUUUUUUCGCGUUCAUUUUGGUCUUUUUCCUUUUUAUUUAUUUUGAAUUUGCCCCGAAAUUUUGGUUUUAGCUCAAUUUAAUCCCUUUUUCAUAUCUUUGUUAUGUUAUCGUUAUUUUUAUU